rnacentral:rRNA from 1 species
AUUGAACGCUGGCGGCAGGCCUAACACAUGCAAGUCGAACGGUAGCACAGAGAGCUUGCUCUCGGGUGACGAGUGGCGGACGGGUGAGUAAUGUCUGGGAAACUGCCUGAUGGAGGGGGAUAACUACUGGAAACGGUAGCUAAUACCGCAUAACGUCGCAAGACCAAAGAGGGGGACCUUCGGGCCUCUUGCCAUCAGAUGUGCCCAGAUGGGAUUAGCUAGUAGGUGGGGUAACGGCUCACCUAGGCGACGAUCCCUAGCUGGUCUGAGAGGAUGACCAGCCACACUGGAACUGAGACACGGUCCAGACUCCUACGGGAGGCAGCAGUGGGGAAUAUUGCACAAUGGGCGCAAGCCUGAUGCAGCCAUGCCGCGUGUAUGAAGAAGGCCUUCGGGUUGUAAAGUACUUUCAGCGGGGAGGAAGGUGUUGUGGUUAAUAACCACAGCAAUUGACGUUACCCGCAGAAGAAGCACCGGCUAACUCCGUGCCAGCAGCCGCGGUAAUACGGAGGGUGCAAGCGUUAAUCGGAAUUACUGGGCGUAAAGCGCACGCAGGCGGUCUGUCAAGUCGGAUGUGAAAUCCCCGGGCUCAACCUGGGAACUGCAUUCGAAACUGGCAGGCUAGAGUCUGUAGAGGGGGGUAGAAUUCAUGAU